rnacentral:lncRNA from 1 species
GCCGUACCCACAGCAUAUGGAGGUUCCCAGGCUAGGGGUCAAAUCGGAGCUACAGCUGCCUGCCUACGCCACAGCCACAGCAAUGCCAGAUCCGAGCCUUGUCUGCUCCUUACACCACAGCUCAUGGCAACAGAGGCCAGGGAUUGAACGCACAUCCUAAUGGAUCCUAGUUGGAUUCAUUUCUGCUGUGCCACAAUGGGAACUCCCCUUCCUUUUUCCAACGGUUGAGUGUCUCCUGGGAUAUGCAUGCUCUGUUCCAUUUCUUUCUUUUUUUAAACAGACCCAGAGUCCCAGAAGAAGUUAGAUGUUGUGCUUACAAACUGCAUACACAUGGGCAUCAUGGAAGUGCAAAACUCCAAUAAAGAAAUAAGCACAUGGUUUCUUAGUUCAUUUUUUAUGUUAAUGAUGAAAGUGCAGGUAAGAAAAUAAGAACUAGCCUUAAGGACAUAUAAGUGAUGGAAAGAGAAGGAAAAUUCUAGGUGGAGCCCAGAGAAGUUAUCAUUCUCUUCCUAUCAACAUUGGGUGGAUGUGCAGGCCCCUUGCUUUAUAGCAGCAGAACAAAAUAAAAUGACUGAUGAUCAAAGAAACUCACAGAUGCCUACAGAAUUAAAUUAUCAACCCACUUUGACAUUUUGCAAGUAUAAACAGAAACAGAAAUAACUAGAGGUGUAGAAAUAGUUGAAGAAGCCCCUCAACAUUAAAUUCUAAACUUCAAAUUUGAAACACCUAGAGAUUGGGGUUUCUCUGUAAUCUAUAAAUCAGCCUUGAUUCAAAGAAAUAGCCAGGCUGGCAUGGGGGAGCAACUUUAGAUCUGGCCAGCACAGGACCUGGGGAGGCUCAGUAGAGACCCACUAUCUGUUAAUAAGGAAGAAGACCCAAAACAGAGCCAGGACAAAUAAUUCUGUCAUUUUACUGUCAAAAGUGUCCAACCAUUCUUUAUUGUGAAAAGGAUACAUAAUUAAGCUGUAUCUUUAUAUUAUUAUUUUUUUUUUACUAUUUGGCAUAUUAUUCAUUCCCAGUGAUGUUUCAUUUCUCCUCAAAUGAUUCUUUUGCAACCUUUAGAAAGCCCUGCAAUUUCCUUUUCAUUUGGCCGAACGUGGCAGACACAGGAGGGAGAGCUUCUAAAUCCUGUUGCUCAGAAUAUGGCUUUUUUUUUUUUUUUUUUUUUUUUUUUUUUUGUCUUUUCAGGGUCGCACCCACUGGAAAUGGAGGUUCCCAGGCUAGGGGUCUAAUCGAAGCUACAGCUGCCAGCCUACACCAGAGCCACAGCAACGCCAGAUCUGAGCCACGUCUGUGACCUAUAGCACAGCUCAUGGCAAUGCCUGAUCCUUAACCCACUGAGUAAGGCCAGGAAUCGAACUCAAAACCUCGUGGUUCCUAGUUGGAUUCCUUUCUGCUGCGCCACAACGGGAACUCCCAGAAUAUGUUUAAAAAAAAAAAAAAAGCAGGACCCCAGACAGGUGUGUAACUGUUUGAAUGGGCUAUCUCUUAUACAACUAGGAAUAAGACCUACUUGGAAGAAGUUUUGCUCUAGAAACUGUUGAUGCUCUUGACUUAUUGAGGGGAGUUCCAUAAAAUGGCCAUUACCAACUGUAUAAGACAAAACUCGUGUUAGCUCGAAGGUUAGUCCCUGUUUUAAAAUCCCAAAAAAGAUAAACCCUAUUAUGGGCCAUUUCCACUUUCCCCACUGCUUCCCUGACAAGAGGUAAUGUGGGUCUGAGGAGGAAACUGAAGAUUCAUGGCCCAAAUAGAGCAGAAGUCUUGUCUUGUGUAACUGCCCAAAUGCUAAUACAAACUCAUUGUUGCUCAAUUUGUUCUUUAAAAGCUGUGCUUUAUUCUAUUAACUUUGAUUUGCCCUCUUAGCUUCUGUCAUUUUUCCAUACUGGACUGUCCUGGCAAUCCUCCUCACCUUUCUGUCUGGGUUUCAGUCUCUGACAGGGGCUCUGUGCCUAGGUCUCCCUGCCAGGAUCCAUCUGGCCCAUCGGUAACUAACAGUCAUCUUAGCCUUGUCCAGUGGUGAUAGCUUCACCCGUAGAUUUAACUGAGACAAAACUGAACAACUUACCAUAAAUAUCGGAGUCAAGAAAAAAUUAUUAGGAGACUAGGCGUACAUAAGUUUAGAUAAAAACAGAGAAGGCAGGACGACAGUGUGGUCCAAGUAAUUUUCUCUGUGCAAAGAUGCCUUCUAUUUAGUAUAACUAAACAUAUUACUUCUGGGGAAAAAAAAAAAACAACAACAAAAAUUCACACUCCAAAAAAGGGAGAAAAACUAGUAUUGAGAGCAAUUAUGAGUAUGACUUAAAAUGUCACUUUUCAUCUGUUGUACAGGAGAGUAAAUAUCAUGAAAACUUAACCAUGAUAAGGAAAAAAAAACACUUAACCAUGAUGAAAUAUUUGUCAAACAGUAUUUGUUCCUAUAUUAAGAAAUUAAUACCCACAUGCACAACUUUGAGUUGAUAGAAACUAAAAACUUAAGGUAAUAGAAUUAAGGAUUUCAUUUUCCUUUUUAGAGUUUUAUAUAUUUUUCAAAUUUUUUGGAAAGGCGUUUUGGAAAUAGAAAAAAAAAAAAGGUCUAAAGCUAAAAACUCUUUAACGUAAUUUUUCUUACUGAAUAGUUAUUAUCCUGUUCAUGAGACAUGACCAUAAUAACUCAAAGCCACUAUUUUUUUUUUUUUAAAUUUGGUUGAACCUGCAGCAUGCAGAAAUUCCCAGGCCAGGGACUGAACCCAUGCCACUGUAGCAACCACAACCACUGCAGUGACAACAUUGGAUGCUUAAACCACUGAGCCAUAUGGGAACUCCUCAAAGUUACUAUUGACUUCAUCAGGAUGAGGCUAGCUAUGUGCUUAAGUAAUAAUUGAAGUAAGGAUGAGAAAUAAAUUUUACGGAAAGUAAGAAUAAUACUAUGCCUUAUCUAUAAGAUCCCAAACCAGAAUAUAUUUGAAAAUAUUUGAGUGACUGACUUUUUUUUUUUUUACUUUUCGUCUUCAUUAGUGAUACUAUGCAGCUAUCUAUAGUUUGGUAUCUCUAACCACCAGAUAACAGUUGUGAUGACCAAAAAUGCCUCUAGACACUGCCAAAUGUCCUCUGGGGUAGGAGAGAAAUCACCCCUGGUUG